rnacentral:rRNA from 1 species
GAGGUUCGAAGGCGAUCAGAUACCGCCCUAGUUCUAACCGUAAACGAUGCCAGCCAGCGAUCCGGCUGUGUUCCUCAAAUGACACGCCGGGCAGCUCCCCGGGAAACCAAAGCUUUUGGGUUCCGGGGGGAGUAUGGUUGCAAAACUGAAACUUAAAGGAAUUGACGGAAGGGCACCACAAGCCAUGGAGCAUGCGGUUCAAUUUGACUCAACACGGGGAACCUUACCCGGCCCGGACACAGGAAGGAUUGACAGAUUAAGAGCUCUUUCUUGAUUCUGUGAGUGGUGGUGCAUGGUCGUUCUUAGUUGGUGGAGCGAUUUGUCUGCUUAAUUGCGUUAACGAACGAGACUCUAGCCUACUAAAUAGACGUUCCGAUCUCCAAGGUCGGACGCUCUUCUUAGGGGGACAGGCGGCGACUAGCCGCACGAGACAGAGCAAUAACAGGUCUUGAAUGCCCUCAGAUGUCCGGGGCCACACGCGCGCUACAUUGGAGGAAUCAGCGUGUGCUUUCCCGGUCCGACAGGACUGGGUAACCCGUUGAACCCCCUUCGUGCUGGGGAUAGGGGCCUGCAAUUGUUCCCCUUGAACGAGGAAUGCCUAGUAAGCACGAGUCAUCAGCUCGUGUUGACUACGUCCCUGCCCUUUGUACACACCGCCCGUCGCUAUAAGCGAUUGAAUGGUUUAGUGAGGUCUUUGGACUGGCGCUCGAGUUGGCCUCGCGGUCGAGUCGACGUGCCGGAAAGAUGACCGAACUUGGUCAUUUAGAGCAUAUAAAAGUCGU